UUUUUUUGUCUCAAAUUUGAAA
rnacentral:snRNA from 1 species